UCUGAAGGACGGAACACAAUUUGAUGGCAGUAUCCCUUGAGGAGAACCAUUUGUGUUUACAUUAGGAGUGGGACAAGUUAUCAAAGGAUGGGAUCAAGGACUAUUAAAUAUGUGUGAAGGAGAAAA